UGACCUUGAGAAUGAAUGAAUGUCUUCUAAAAUCAAAAUUGCAAACAGAAACUAUAUAAAAAGGAAUAAACCUAACGUACCUAAAACGUACAUUCUUACACAUUUCCACACCAAGUAAAUAGGACAAAACAAACUGGGGACAUUUUUACAACAAUUAUGUUAGAUGAAACUUAAAAUCCUUAUGACAUAUACAAUGUAUAAAACAGUAUUAUUACCACUAUUAUUACUACCAUUAUGAUUACCUGGUCUUCCCACGCACCAGUCCUCUUCCGGUGCCCUAUGGUGAAACAGAGCCCUCCGUCUCUGGCCACAGUGAGGGAUCCAUCAGGAACCCUGCCUAAGCCCUCAGAGGGUGUGAGCCAAACCAGGACAUCACAUUCCCUCCUGCAAUGACGCAGAUAUCCACUCACGACAGAGAUUUGGUACCUCUCUGGAAAAGCUGUGUAACAAUUAUUGCAGAAACUUGUUUCUUAUGUUCCCAGACACAUGGAGAAAGCUGGUCUGGAAGACUGAUGUCCACAUGCUAAGAGAAGCAGUCACUCAUAACACACACUGCACACACCACACCAUGUGCACACACACCCCACACACAGACACCACACAAACAGCACACACACCAUGUGCACACGUGAAGGGGUGGUCUGCCCCUCCACACUUGUGGGCGUUUCUCAUCGGGUGGAACAAGAGACUUGAGAAAAGAGACACAGAGACGAAGUAUAGAGAAAGAAAAGUGGGCCCAGGGGAAUGGCGCUCAGCAUACGGAGGACCCACGCUGGCACCAGUCUCUCAGUUCCCUUAGUAUUUAUUGAUCAUUAUCAGGCGUUUCUCAGAGAGGGGGAUGUGGCAGGACAAUAGGGUAAUAGUGGAGAGAAGGUCAGCAGGAAAACAUAUGAACAAAUGUCUCUGCAUCAUAAACAAGGUAAAGAAAAAAGUGCUGUGCUUUUGAUGUUCAUAUACAUAAACAUCUCAAUGCCUUAAAGAGCAGUAUUGUUGCCAGCAUGUCCCACCUCCAGCCCUAAGGCAGUUUUCCCCUAUCUCAGUAGAUGGAAUAUACAACUGGGCUUUACACUGAGAUAUUCCAUUGCCCAGGGACAAGCAGGAGACAGAUGCCUUCCUCUUAUCUCAACUGCAAAGAGGCCUUCCUUUUUACUAAUCCUCCCCAGCACAGAACCUUUAUAGGUGUCAGGCUGGGGGAUGGUCAGGUCUUUCCCUUCCCAUGAGACCAUAUUUCAGACUAUCACAUGGGGAGAAACCUUGGACAAUACCUGGCUUUCCUAGGCAGAGUUCCCUGUGGCCUUCCGCAGUGUUUUGUGUCCCUGGGUACUUGAGAGUAGGGAGUGGUGAUGACUCUUAACAAGAAUGCUGCCUUCAAGCAUUUGUUUAACAAAGCACAUCCUGCACAGCCGUUAAUCCAUUUAACCUUGACUUGACACAGCACAUGUCUCAGGGAGCACAGGGUUGGGGGUACGGUUACAGAUUAACAGCCUCUCAAGGCAGAAGAAUUUUUCUUAGUACAGAACAAAAUGGAGUCUCUUAUGUCUACUUCUUUCUACAUAGACACAGUAACAGUCUGAUCUUUUUCUUUUCCCCCCACACAUGCAUACACACCCCACAGACACCGCACACACUGCACACACACCCCAGACACCACACCCACUGCACACACCACACCAUAUGCACACACACAACCCAGACACCAUACACACUGCACAUACCUCAUGAGCACAUGCACACACAUCACACAGACACCACACACUGCACACACACCAUGUGCACAAACACCACACACACUGCACACACACCAUGUGCACGUAUACACACCCCACACUGCACACACACACGUGCACACGCACACACCCCAGAGACUACACACCGCACACACCACUCCAUGUGCACACACACCCCACACACAGACACCACACACUGCACACAGCCCACCACACUGCACAUGCCACACCGUGUACAUGCACACACCACACACACACCACACACAGUGUACACAAGCACACAUGCCCCACACAUACACCACACAGACACCACACACACUGCACACAGCACAACAUGCAUACACGCACACACACCCCCACACACCACACAUACUGCACACAUACCACGUACACACACACCCAACACAGACAUCACACACUGCACACACACCAUGUAUACAUGCACACAAACCCCCAAACAUCACACACACCACACACCAUGUGCACGUGCACACACCCCACCACAGACACAUACACUGCACACAGACCAGGUGCACACACGCACACCCCUGAUACGCCACACACACACCAUGUGCACACACACACCCCAGACACCACACACACUGCACACACACCAUGUGCACAUGCACACACAUCCCCACACCACAAUGCACAAUGUGCACACACGCAUACCCCCCACACACCGCACACACUACACCACACACAAGAAUCUACUACACACACAACAUACACAUACAGCACCACACACACCCCAUACUCCCCACACACAUCAAACACACGCCCCACACAUACUCCCCACACACUGCACACGUAUAUAUAGCACCACACAGAGCACACACAUCACAUACACACCACACAUACUGUGCACACACACACCACACAUUCUACACUCAUCACACAUCAAACACUACACACAGUACACACACAUCCAGCACCAUACACACACACAUCACAUAAACCACAAACUGCACACACAUAUAUCAUACGCACACCACACCACACGUAGUACACACCCACCACACACACAUACACCACAAACACAGCACAUAUACACACCAUGCACCACCCACAAACUACACACAGUAUACACACAUAACACCCACAAUACACACUACACACACAUAUACAUACCCCAUGAACCUACUACACACAAAGACCACAAACACACACCAUACAUACACAUCACACACAUACACCUGCGCACACCUCACAGCAUACAUACAAUCCUCACUUUUAGAAAUUAAUUUGGCUUUUAAGGAGCCUGGAUAGUAAAGUAUUUUAUUGGCAUUUGAAUGAACCAAAAAAAUGCAUAUAAAUACACAAGCGUAACUAUAAGGGCAAAAGUAGUACUUUCGAAAUCACAACAUUAGAUUAAACCAUGUAAAUUUUUUAUUGUUUUUAAAAAAUCGAGUCUUUCUCAUCUUACGAUAAAUUAUUUACCAGAGUAAAUAAGCUUCUUACUGAGGUCAAAAGACUUUCUGGAAAAACUUCUCCUUGAUGAAAUUGCACUUAAAACAUCACUUCCAUCAUGAAGUAUUUAAGAUGGUCUUGGUCCUUUUCCUGUUAUGUGGAAUCGUCAAUUCAAAUUUUAAAAGUGACGUUGAGAUGUUUUUCAUCUAUUAUUUUAAAAACGUUGAAGGCGUUUUUAAUUCUGCCUUCAACAGAGAUCGACAUACCUCUGAUUAUGAUGUAAAACUGAACACGUUACUCUGACAGGCUUUCUUUUCUGCAGCGCAGCUACCAUCAUUAUUAAUAAGGAUUGAAGGCUUUUAGUCCAUGCACAAUCUGUAUUCCCUGCUUUAUAAAGAAUAGAAAUCUAAUUCUCACUAUGAAGGCAGAUAAAAGUAAUCCCUUCAACCUAUAGAUGAAUCAUUUACCAAAGCACUCAGACUUUAAAUAGCAUUUAUCAAAUGUGUCUAUAUUUCUAUGCAGAUUCAUAGAAAGAACAUGUAGUUUAAAUCAUUGCACAUUUUAUGCUUUUAAUGAGUUGUGAUGGUCAUUAGUAUUUUUAUCACAUUUCCCCAAAGGUAGGCUAAUUACUGUUUUUAUUUUCAGCUAGAAAUGUAAAAUGAAUUUUCUAUUUUUGAAGACUUUGAAACAUAAUCCUUGGAAUAUAAUAUCUGUGUAUAAUAUCUGUGGAAAGCAUGAAAGCAACAUUCAAACAGUAUGCAUUUUUUCCAGAUUGAAAAUUUACUCUACAAUAACAUUCAUCCUUUUUUCCUGAUGGGCACAUAAAAGUCAACAUUUCUGACAUUGCUGGAUGUUAUUUACAUUAAACUUGCCUCAGAUUCAGGUGUUGCAGAAACUGGACAAGAGGCCACAAGGUACACAAUACACACACACACACACACACACACACACACACACACACACACACACACAACUUGUAUUAUUAUACUUACCUAAGUGUCUAAAGAGGUGGAUAAAUAUAUUAGAUUGCUCCAGAACAAGGAUUUUUAUGGGGCCUAUUGGAAAGUAUGACUGCAGUUUGAGUGAGAUGCCUGUAAGAGAUUCAAUUUUGCCACUAAUGGAGUACCCAAUUUUAAAAAUACUGACAGAAGGGUCAUGAGAUAGAAAUUUUCACCUAGAUCUAUUGGAAAUAUGCUACUAGAUUCUGUAGUAAAAAGACUGGUGUGGUAAUUGUAAAACACAUCUGAUAUCUAAACCUUUGUUUGUUUUUUACCUGAAAUCCUUAUAGGGGUGAUUGUGUAUGUCAAUUUGAAUCUUCCCAUCAACAAGAUAAAUAAAUACAUAAAUAAACAGCCACCUGCCUGUAUAAAUUAGUUCACCUUUUCUAUAUUUUGAGGGCAGUGCUUCUCCUCCUUUGACAGCCACAAGUUUCACCCGGGGAUCCCUUAAAAUGCAAAACCAUAGCCCACACUUUGACAAGCUUGGAUAAGAGGCCAGAGCUUUGAAAUGAGUGUGUAGCUGACUGUGCUAAGAUUCUGCUGCUCAUUUGGGCACUGGCUCACCAUAUAAACAAAGCCUAGGACCUCUAUUCCUUGCUGGAAAAGAAAUACACAUACAUAGGAUGUGACUGUGCAUAUGGAAUAUCUGUUGUGUUCUGGACAUUGUGCUAGACAACAGAGAUAAGAAGUCAAAUAAUCCUUUGUCUCUAUCUGAAAAGAGCUUCCUACACACUGGCUUCUGAGGACUUUGAAACUAGAUUCACUUUCAGAUUUGACUAUUAUAUUUAUGAUUUGAUAUUUUCAUUGAACCCCAUGAUAUGAUAAAGUUUUCUAGAACCUGCUAGAAUAAUUGACUUUCCUCUCAGCAUUAUGAAGCCACUGGGGCACAUAAGUAGUUCAUUUAUGUUUCUAUUUAACCAGACAGGAACAACUUGAGCUACUUUUCUAGCCACUUUUGUUUAGAGCUGUUUUUGUUUGUUAUUUUUGUUUGUUUUUGAGACAGGUCUCACUCUGUCACCUAGGCUGAAAUGCAGUGGCGUGAUCGGAGCUCACUGCAGCCUCUACCUUCUGGGCUCAAGCAAUCCUCUCACCUCAGCCUCCUGAAAAGCUGGGACCACAGGCUCAUACCACCAUACCCUCCUAAUUAAAAAUUUUUUUUUGUAGAGACGGUUUUUCCAUGUUUCUUAGACUUGUCUCCAACUCUUGAACUUAAGCAAUCUGCCUGCCUCAGCCUCCUAAAGUGUAGAGCUGUGUUUUCAGUCUUUUUUUGAGCUGUUUUACAAUCCAGCUUUGAAUUGAUAACUUUGGAUUCAUUCUGACAUUUACAGAUUUUACAUCCUACUUCACAAGAUGCUCAUAGCCUUAAUCCAUUACAGCCGCUGCCUCACAUCCAUCUCUGCUCAUAGCCUUGAUCUAUUACAGUAGCCACCUCGUCCAUCUCUGCUCAUAGCCUAAACUUAUAGAAGCCAGAGGGAAGAAAUGGAAGCCAACGUGAG
rnacentral:lncRNA from 1 species